CCUUAUAUAUCUAAACUUAAGAGUCGGAUUCUUACUCCGAAAAUGUGUGGUCACACUAUAAGGU
rnacentral:tRNA from 1 species